AUGCUGGAUGAGGAGGACACUGACAAAGACGGGAUGAGUUUGGAGGUCGACACUCCAGUGACGAACCAUCGGGGUGACGACGACGAUGACGAAGAAGAUCUCCCCGAGAUAGUGCUGGAUGACGUGCCUGCGGUGAGGGUGGCGGGACGGCCUCCAUUCGCUCCGCGGGUAAGUUGGGUUUUUAGUCUGAGCUUGCAGUGUUGCUCUAUUUCCCCUUCGUGGACAUUAAGUUAUGACAGCCUGAGCCUGCACGUUCCAGACCAUGUGGACGGUUCCGAGGGUUGGGACUCCAUGUCAGGCGCGUCUGUUGCCAACUCCCGAUGCCUGCUUCCGCAGGGCAAUGCGAUAACAACACCUGUCCCAACCUGCAGAGGACAGAGCUCCUUCUCCAGAAGCAUCUUUUCCUCGAGGGAAAGAGUUCUGUCAUCUCCAACUGACAUGGCCUUGGACAUCCCGUCGUCUAGGACAAGUUCUUGCCUUUCUCCCCGAGGAGGGUUUGCUCUGCCUUUGCUGGGUUCUCUGGACUCCACCGCUGUUGUGCAUCGGGGUUUCUGCUGUCACCAAGUGAAGGAAAGACCUGUGCAAAUAGGUGGCCUUGUGGUCUGAUCCUCAUGGCACUUUCUCCUCUUGUCAUUGCAGGUGGCCUUCAUGGUGAACAAAACAUGUAUGUAUGCUGGAAGCACUCAUCUGGGGGAGGGGCCCCUUAGAAGGUGAGGCAGGUGGCGCAGUCUUGCUGGGUUUAUUUAUUUGUUUUUAAUUGUUGUUUCCCCAGGGCAGGUUUUGUUUUUUUCCCCUUUCUUCCGGCCGUAGGGCAUGGUGACCCGGUUACACAUACAUGCACACGUUCUAUUUUCGCACAUUAUCAUGCUCCAUCAUAAGUGACUGGACAUAGCUCCCCAGGGCUACACAGCAGGCUCUCACUGCCCAUCCAUUCCAAAGGCAAGAGUUUGUAUCUAUUAACCCCAAGCUCCCCAGCCGCCCCAGUCCCUCCCCCUCCCCCUCCCCUCUCCCCCUUGGCAACCACAAGUCUCUUCUCCAAGUCCAUGAUUUUCUUUUCUGUGGAAAGGUUCAUCUGUGCCUCAUGUUAGACGCCAGAUACAUUCUUGCUGGUUUUGGUGUGGAGGGCCGGAGUGUUUGCAGUUUUGUCCUUGGAGUUAGGGUAGCAGGUUUGCUGAUGGAAAGUGACUUACAGGUAAAGUCACGGGGCCAGGUACUGUAGUCCCAGGAACAAGCCGUGUUACCAUUAGUCGAUGGAGGUUUGUGUGCAAGGGACUAGGGGGGUGUGUAUGGGAAACGGCUGGUAGGAUUCUGAGUGUGUCAAAAUCCUGAGCCUUCCUCUGACCCUCCUCCCAGAUGACCCCGAGUACCCGAGGCGGAAGGUGUCCGGCAUCAGUGCUCAGAAAGUUGUUCCACCUUCCACCAAGGUAAGGGCUUUUCACUUCUCUGAGGAAAAAGAAAAAGCAAAAAAAAAAAAAAAAUAUAUAUAUAUAUAUAUAUAUGGCUUCAUUCCCUAGCUUUUCAAUCAAAUUCAACUCUGAAAGUCCAAAUCCGUGGAUACUUAGGGUUUUCCUGGGUUGGGUGACUGUUGACUGAUUGUCUGUCCCAGUGAAUGACUGAUUUAAAAAAGGACCUUUAAAAGCGGACAGCAGUAGUUUUGUAUGUGUAAGUGUGGUCGGGAGCAUGGUUAGUAGCAGAGACUCGCCCUCCUUGAAGGAGACUUUGGCAGCUGUGGGUCAGAGUGCACGUAAGAGUUUUUCCAGGAAAAUUCGAAGGCUUUCUCCAAGAUGACCUCUGUGUUUUUCCUUUGGGACCUGGGACUAAAGGAAUUUUACAUUUGGGUUUUCUGUGGACAGACAGACAAUGAAAAACCUUUGAGUCUGUAGAGCGCGGGAGGCUUAGAUGCUGUCACUAAGAAUGUGCUUUUCUCUAGAUGCUGGAUGAGGAGGACACUGACAAAGACGGGAUGAGUUUGGAGGUCGACACUCCAGUGACGAACCAUCGGGGUGACGACGACGAUGACGAAGAAGGUGGGUCUUCCUUGCUGGCAUUGGUUGGGGAGGCACCAGAUCCGGGGUUCCUUUUGGGAAAGAGGGUUGCUCCCAGCUCAUUCCCAGCCAUAGUGAUGCCCAAGGUGUACACGCCCUGGACACAAGUCUGCCCUGUAGAUGGUGCUUUGUGGCAAGAUAGGAGGCCCGGGAAGCGAGGUCCACACGUGAGCACGUGUGGUGUGAGCGUGUGGUUCCCCAGAACCUCUUGCCUGUUUCCGCCGCAGAGAGACGCGUCAGCUUCGUGGAGGACAAAGGCCACCCCCUCUGCAGAGCUUCUCUGCGUUCAUGCAUUCUCCCUUGACCACCGCUGCUCCCAAGUUGGCUCAAUGUCCCCGUUGCUCAGGUGGAG
rnacentral:lncRNA from 9 species